UUCUACACCUUCCGUUCGUUCAGCUUUUAGCUGCUUAAUUUGUGAUUUAUAAUUGGACAACAUUACACAAUACGAUAAAUUUGCAUCAUGUCAAACACAAAAGAAACAAGGAAAGGAUUAAAAAGAAAGUUUAUAUCGCUUGAAGAUAAAAUCCAAAUUUUAAAUCGUUUAGAAGGCGGGGGAAAAAUAUUGUCUGUUGCAAAAUCAAUAAAUUUGAAUGAAUCUACAAUUCGAACCUUAAAGAAAAAAGCAGAUAAUAUAAGGAAAACGAAUGGGUGCCAAAUCUCGAUUUACAAGAUGUGAAAAAAGGGCUAAAUUUGGCUAAAGAAUUAUAACUUCAUUUCAUUCAAACUGAUCGUUCAACGGUGAUCAAAAGUUUAAAAGAGAGUGAAGAAAUUGCUUAGCUCCCUAUAGAGAGGUUUUAGUGGAGUUAGAAAAAAAAGCUACGAUCGGAAACCAAUGUGAAGAAGAAUCAAGUGAAGAAGACAUUUUGCCCAUUAAAAGAAGACGAGUUAGGCGACUCAUAUCUGACAGCGAGGAUGAAUGUUGAAAAAUAAAUAAUUUUACAAAAGUCUUUCUUGUUUUUGUUGGAAAACAGUCUUUUAGUUUAGUUUUUGUUUCAUUUUUUUCGUCAAUCCUUAUAUGAACUCUUCAAUUCAAUAAAAAUAAUUCAUAAUUUA